UCUCUCCAGAUUCCUUAUCCUUCGAACCUAUAUAUGGUUUGAGUGGCUUUUAAAAAGAAGAAGAAGAAAAGUAAAACUGAAAUGAACUUGGAGUCUUUACUGACAUACAAGUUCAUUUCAAACAUAC
rnacentral:snoRNA from 1 species